AGAGUUUGAUCCUGGCUCAGGACGAACGCUGGCGGCGUGCUUAACACAUGCAAGUCGAACGAGAAGAGAUGAGAAGCUUGCUUCUUAUCAAUUCGAGUGGCAAACGGGUGAGUAACGCGUAAGCAACCUGCCCUUCAGAUGGGGACAACAGCUGGAAACGGCUGCUAAUACCGAAUACGUUCUCUUUAUCGCAUGGUAGAGGGAAGAAAGGGAGGCUCUUCGGAGCUUUCGCUGGAGGAGGGGCUUGCGUCUGAUUAGCUAGUUGGAGGGGUAACGGCCCACCAAGGCGACGAUCAGUAGCCGGUCUGAGAGGAUGAACGGCCACAUUGGGACUGAGACACGGCCCAGACUCCUACGGGAGGCAGCAGUGGGGAAUCUUCCGCAAUGGACGAAAGUCUGACGGAGCAACGCCGCGUGAACGAUGACGGCCUUCGGGUUGUAAAGUUCUGUUAUACGGGACGAAUGGCGUAGCGGUCAAUACCCGUUACGAGUGACGGUACCGUAAAGAAAAAGCCACGGCUAACUACGUGCCAGCAGCCGCGGUAAUACGUAGGUGGCAAGCGUUGUCGGAAAUAAUUGAGCGUAAAGGGCGCGCCAGGCGCGUCCUAAGUCGGGCUUAAAAAGUGGCGGGCUUUAACCCCGUGAGGGGGACCGAAACUGGCAUGGCUAAAAUAUUGGAAAAGAAAAGCGGAAAUCCUAG
rnacentral:rRNA from 1 species